AGCGACGGAUAGCAACCACGUGAUCAGUAAAAAUUGUGUAUUUUCACGUGAAUUCAUUUUCCGGAAUUCCUUACUCCGUCAUAGAAUAGUCGAAAAACAAAAAGGGGUUCCGAAAGUGUUUUGUUGCUGUGACUGACUCGCCUACAGAAAAUAUGCACAUACCACAUAAGUAUACGUCAAUGUCUGUAAUAAUGGUAGAUCAAAUGUUUCAUCUGUGUGAAACUUUUUGCUAAUCGAAAUGUUAAACCAACCACCAAUCCAUGUACAUAGAUGCGCUACGUAAACAAAGUUGUUGAUUGAUGCAUCGUAAUGUCCGAGUGUAGCAUGCUGCGAGAUUAAAUACUGUUUAUACAGUCAUUGAGAGGCUAAACAAAGUUUCUUGCAAGAAGAGGAAGUUGGUGGAUGCAUUCAACUUGGACAACGAAAUCAUAGUUUCGUUUGGCAUCAGCCUGAAGACCGAGGGAGGUUAGAUAGGACUAGUGCAGGUUGAAGUGGAUUUCGAGGCAACAAGUAUAACAGCAAGAGAGGUACUCCAUUUACAGUGAUGAUGACAUAUCCCCUGGACCCCCACAACUCCACAAACUUAAAAAUGUUUGAUCAAGUUCCGAAGAUUAAAGAACUACUGCAAAAUUUGGGACUGGAUGAAAAACAUUAAUUCACUUAUAUGAGCUCAGAGCAGUGGAUGUUAUACAACAUACUUUAAACUAAAUUGUGAAUUUAAGGGAAAACAAGAUCAUGUACUCGUAUAUUACAAGUACAUGCCUUUUGAAAGACAAUAAUAUUGCAUAGAUGUAAAGGAAAUUUCAAUGUUGAUUAUUCUUUCUUAGAUAUAUUAGUAAAAAAUGUGCACAUGAUAGAAUAUCAAUUUUAUAACUUCAAUCAAUGUGUUUGAAUUUUCCUUGUAUUUCAAAAUUUAGUUGAAACAUACAUCAUAGAUACAUUAAUGUAUAUCAAAUUUUUAGAAAAGUUUCAUAAUGGAACUAAUUCACCCCCCCCCCCCCCCCCCCCCCCCCCCCUUAUACAUACAGUGAACAUAGACCUUCACCUGGGGAAAACUUCAGUUAGUUAAUGCAAUAUACAUGUACAUGCAUUCUCAGUUAUCCAAUAGUGAGUUUUUGGUUCCAUGUGAAACUACAAUUAGAAAUCUUAAACUUAUGAAAGACACACCUAUCUGUGAGGGUAAGAUGACUCAGAUGGACUUACAUGUAGUGAUCCAUGAGCAGUCCAUGGGUCUCUUUCCAUUGAUAUUAAUUAUUUAUUGAAAUAUGAAAUGGUUAUUUAAACAUAUUUGGUGUAUUAUACUGUAUAGUGAUAUAAAUUUCUAUCAAAAAAUAUGUAUAGGUAAUAGAUUUGGUCCAGUUAUUACAAGAAAUUGUAUAAAAAAUAACUAAAUAUUUAGGCAAUCAUUGUGAGUGCGAAAAGGUCAACUGCAAUAGCACACACUGUAUAUCAUUCUUAAAUGGCUCAUAGAAACUUCUAGUAUGUGAGUUUGAAUGCUCGAUAUGGUAAUUUGGAAUGCUUAAUCAUUUAAGGUCAAUAGUUUAUCUCUGCUGACUGUAUCUCUUAAAAUUCAUUUCUAGAAGGGAGGGGUAGGGUUACAAAAUCUGACAUAGUUUCAGAUUAAACCUCAUUUGGUAUAUUUUUUUCUAUUCAAUAUUUUAGAUACUACUUGACUUAUUGUAAAAAUGAAAUAAAAUCAGAAAUUUUAUGAGCAGAAUUUUGUUGUUGUCAGAAAAUGUAUGCCUGAUAGUAUUUGAGAAACGCCAUAUUUAGGGUAAAUUUGGCCAAUUGCCAAGUCGAAUCAUGCCAAUGUUUUCCUUAGAUGCAUUUUGAAUUUCUAAUCCAUGUUGAUUUUUUAUCUGUUUGUGUUUAAUUUACAUAACUAUAUAUGACAAACAAUAUUUCUGGUGUCAAUAAAAUUUUUAUUGGC